GAGAGCUCACCCCACACUGCUGGACAAGUUACUGCUCAGCCACACCCCCACCACCCUGAAAGAAGUUGACUUCAUAAUUUCCACACUAAAAUUGUUCAUCUGCCCCAGGAGAGAGCCAGCUAGGCAGGAGGCAGAGACAUCGGGGAUGGGGAAGAUGGGUGGAAAGCAAAGGUCCUGUUUCUUCAAUGGAUCACUGACAACCGCAGUCUCGGCUGGAGGAGAGGUGAGGCUCACACCCAGCAGUCCUGGACCAUUUCCCUAGCAACGGGAGGAGAAAGGCUGCUUAGACACUCGAGAGCCCCAGCGUUCUCCUGGAACGUGCCCCGGCUCCGUAGCGUGGCAGCCACUCGGCAUCUUCCCGUGGCUCCGUCAGCAGCCAAAAGGAGAAGGGUCCAUCGGAAAAAUGGCAUAUUACAAAUUUUGCUUUGGGAAGCAGAGCUCGGUUCAGACCAUUGUCAAAGGGAAGAGAGGGGGAGGCGGUUCUUAAAGCAGCCGCGGCCCCUUUGCCGCCCAGCAGCAGCAGCAGCAGCAGCUCGAGCGUGCAGCGGAGCCCCCGGGGCGGAGAGCUGGUAAUCCGGGACUGGAUCUGACUUUCAGAAACUUAACCUAGCACAACUGCUCCCCGCGGUCUCCCGGGCCACGCAGCGGGUGAAGAAGCAUCCCUUCAAACGCGAACUUCGGGGUGAAGUGUGGGAAGGUACCUCUCUGGAAGGGAAAUUCUCCACCCAGUACCCCACCCGGAGUCACUGUGGAGUUUAUGAUGCUGAAACUCUAAGAUUAGAGUGGACCUUGUGUGUCCACACUCCUGACAAUGUCCACAUGAGACCCUUUGUUGGCGUGAACAAAGUUUCCUGAGAAGAAUCUAUGUCAGCUGAGACCAAUUGAACUGCAGUACUGUGGAGAGGUUGGAAUGCUGAUCCAGAGGCUAAUUACCUUACCUUAUCACUGGGAACAUCUGUUCCCUACCUAUUCUGUCAGAACCAGCAUCCUGUGGAUAAUAGAUAAAACAAUUUUGGUAUCUAUUAACUUAGGAGACUACCAAGUCCCAAACCCAAAAGCUAAGAAUGUCAUUAAAAAGCAUCUUGGGCCUACAGCAAAGCUUCCAUCAUCUGGCUGUAAGCACCUCUCUGCUGUACCCACCAGUGUAUGUAUUUUAAACUUACCCUGAUUUAUGACUUUGUUCUAUGAAACUAUAAAAAUUCAUGAAACUGUU